GGCUAUGGCCAUACCACCCUGAACAUGUUCGAUUUUGUCUGAUCUCGGAAGCUAAGCAGGGUCUGGCCUGGUUAGUACUUGGAUAAGAGACUACCUAGGAAGACCGGGUAUUGUAGGCA
rnacentral:rRNA from 1 species